rnacentral:rRNA from 1 species
AACGAACGCUGGCGGCAUGCCUAACACAUGCAAGUCGAACGGGAUCCUGGUUUCGGCCAGGUGAGAGUGGCGGACGGGUGAGUAACGCGUGGGAACCUGCCCAGUGGUGGGGGAUAACUGCGGGGAAACUGCAGCUAAUACCGCAUGAGCCCGCAAGGGGAANAUUGAUCGCCAUUGGAGGGCCCGCGUUCGAUUAGGUAGUUGGUGAGGUAACGGCUCACCAAGCCUACGAUCGAUAGCUGGUCUGAGAGGAUGAUCAGCCACACUGGGACUGAGAUACCGGCCCAGAC